GUUCUGCGGCUGGUAGAGUUUGUGCACCUCUAGUGCCUCACAGACUUUGAUAAGCAGGAACUACGUGGAGAGCUAGUGAAAAUGCAGAUUCUGAUUCAGAAGUUCUGGAGUGGGGCCUGAGACUCAGCAUUUCUAGACAGCUCCAGGGAGACGCUGAUGCUACUGAUCCAAGACACACUGAGGAGAAUUGAUGGCCCAAAGUGAAUGUCCUGCCCUGUGAUCUGCCCUUUAGCGGAAGAAACAGCAAAACCGGCAUCAACUAAAGCAACUGGGAACAUCAAGUUUUUAUUCAUUUGUUGAUUUGAACAGUAUUUCAUUCUGAUUUUAACUGACUUCUUUUGCAUUAGAUUAAAAACAACAACAAAAGACUGAAAUCUUUCAAGAACAAAGAGGAGCUGGCCUAUAAAUCCUAAAUACAGAUGUAGUGAUUGAACCCAUCUAGGUAGCUUAUGAAUAUAAAUCUCACCCAAAGUUUCAUCCACACUUAAGAGAUAACCACUGUUAAUAUUUUGGCAACUACUCUUGGAAGUAUUUGUGUCUAAAUACAAAUACCUAUGCGUAUGCAAUUUUACUUAACUGUGAUCAUAGUAGGCCUGC
rnacentral:lncRNA from 1 species